rnacentral:rRNA from 1 species
AACGUAGGAGACAAACGUUAUCCGGAGUUACUGGGCGUAAAGGGCGUGUAGGUGGUUUUGUAAGUCUGGCGUGAAAUUUUCGGCUUAACCGGGAAGGUCGUCGGAUACUGCAAGGCUAGAGGACGGUAGAGGCGUGUGGAAUUCCGGGUGUGUGGUGAAAUGCGCAGAGUAAUCGGGAAGAACACCUAUGGCGAAGGCAGCUCUCUGGGACGGUACUGACGCUGAGACGCGAAAGCGUGGGGAGCGAACAGG